rnacentral:rRNA from 1 species
AACGAACGCUGGCGGCAUGCCUACACAUGCAAGUCGAACGAGACCUUCGGGUCUAGUGGCGCACGGGUGCGUCACGCGUGGGAAUCUGCCCUUGGGUUCGGAAUAACAGUUGGAAACGACUGCUAAUACCGGAUGAUGACGUAAGUCCAAAGAUUUAUCGCCCAGGGAUGAGCCCGCGUAGGAUUAGCUAGUUGGUGGGGUAAAGGCCUACCAAGGCGACGAUCCUUAGCUGGUCUGAGAGGAUGAUCAGCCACACUGGGACUGAGACACGGCCCAGACUCCUACGGGAAGCAGCAGUGGGGAAUAUUGGACAAUGGGCGAAAGCCUGAUCCAGCAAUGCCGCGUGAGUGAUGAAGGCCUUAGGGUUGUAAAACUCUUUUACCCGGGAUGAUAAUGACAGUACCGGGAGAAUAAGCCCCGGCUAACUCCGUG